CAUUUCUCGGGACGUCGUCGGUCGUGUGAAGUGUGAACAUAUGAUGUGUGGUGAAGUGGACGCAAUAGCACUACUGACAAGGACACAUAACUGCAUAUGAAGUAGGUACAUGAGAAAUUGUCUUGUCCAAGAUGGAG
ensembl:ncRNA K08A8.17 ncRNA